UACGUAGGGACCGAGCGUUGUCCGGAAUCAUUGGGCGUAAAGGGCGCGUAGGCGGCCAUGCGUGUCUUCCGUGAAAUCCCUCGGCUUAACUGAGGACGUGCGGAAGAAACUGCAAGGCUCGAGUCCGGGAGAGGGGGGUGGAAUUCCCAGUGUAGCGGUGAAAUGCGUAGAUAUUGGGAGGAACACCGGUGGCGAAGGCGGCCCCCUGGACCGGUACUGACGCUGAGGCGCGAAAGCUAGGGGAGCAAACGGG
rnacentral:rRNA from 1 species